AUUGAACGCUGGCGGCAGGCCUAACACAUGCAAGUCGAACGAGUGGCGGACGGGUGAGUAAUGUAUGGGAAACUGCCCGAUGGAGGGGGAUAACUACUGGAAACGGUAGCUAAUACCGCAUACCCUCGGAUGUGACCAGAUGGGAUUUGCUAGUAGGGGAGGUAACGGCUCACCUAGGCGACGAUCCCUAGCUGGUCUGAGAGGUGGUCCAGCAACACUGGAACUGAGACACGGUCCAGACGCCGACGGGAGGCAGCAGUGGGGAAUAUUGCACAAUGGGCGCAAGCCUGAUACAGCCAUGCCGCGUGUAUGAAGAAGGCCUUCGGGUUGUAAAGUACUUUCAGCGGGGAGGCGUUACCCGCAGAAGAAGCACCGGCUAACUCCGUGCCAGCAGCCGCGGUAAUUC
rnacentral:rRNA from 1 species